UGAUGACUGUUCCUCUUGCUGUUGCAAGCUCAGACAGUGAGAUUUGAAGUCAUCAAAUAUUAAAGUUGACUUUUCUUCACUCAAGGUGUCUUUGGAUGGGUUGGCUGUCCGUUGGCACUCUUGAACUUUGCGGGGUCACACAUUC
rnacentral:snoRNA from 1 species